rnacentral:rRNA from 1 species
GACGAACGCUGGCGGCGUGCUUAACACAUGCAAGUCGAACGGAAAGGCCCUGCUUGCAGGGUACUCGAGUGGCGAACGGGUGAGUAACACGUGGGUGAUCUGCCCUGCACUUCGGGAUAAGCCUGGGAAACUGGGUCUAAUACCGGAUAGGAGCCAUUUUUAGUGUGAUGGUUGGAAAGUUUUUUCGGUGUAGGAUGAGCUCGCGGCCUAUCAGCUUGUUGGUGGGGUAAUGGCCUACCAAGGCGGCGACGGGUAGCCGGCCUGAGAGGGUGGACGGCCACAUUGGGACUGAGAUACGGCCCAGACUCCUACGGGAGGCAGCAGUGGGGAAGAUUGAACAAUGGGCGCAAGCCUGAUGCAGCGAAGCCGCGUGGGGGAUGACGGCCUUCGGGUUGUAAACUACUUUCGCUAGGGACGAAGCUUUUUGUGACGGUACCUAGAUAAGAAGAACCGGCUAACUAAGUG